AUGCGUUAUCCAGAGGAGCCGGGCAUGCUAUUGCUGUUGGCACUGCUGCUUCUCUGUAACAACGGAGUCGGUGACGUUGAAGGCUCAACGAUCCACGAGAAUAGCAGCAUUGUUGAUCUGCACGCGCUGCUCGACUUCAAGCAAGGCAUCACCGACGAUCCACAAGGGGCCUUGAGCAGCUGGAGCAACAACACCCACUUCUGUCGAUGGCGUGGUGUAAACUGCACCACGACACCACCGCGUCGCGUCUCAUGGCUUGUCCUCACCGGCCUGGAUUUAGCAGGACAAAUCACCUCCUCUCUUGGAAACAUGACAUUCCUUCGAUCGCUCGACCUUUCAUCUAAUAACUUGGUUGGCCCCAUACCUAUCCUUGGCCAUCUCCAACAACUGGAGACACUUUACCUGUACGACAACCAUCUGCACGGGACAAUUCCUGAUUCAAUCACCAACUGUUCCAGCUUGGCCAACCUAGAUCUCUCUAUAAAUUCUCUAGUGGGUGUAAUUCCUCCGAAACUAGACUUUCUUUCACAUCUUUUCUACCUAAACCUCUCUGGAAACUCCAUAGCGGGUCCAAUCCCUCCGGAACUAGGUUUCCUCUCAAAUCUGUCCGUCUUAGAUCUAUCUGAAAACUUGCUAGUGGGUGAAAUUCAUCCGAAACUAGGUCUCCUUUCAGAUCUGAUCCUCUUGGAUCUCUCCACAAACUUGCUAGUGGACCGAAUUCCUCCGAGUUUAGGCUUUCUUCCAAAUCUAGAAUAUCUAUAUCUUCGAUCAAAUCAACUCGAGGGGAGCAUUCCUGAUGAGCUUGGGCAAUUGCAGGUUUUAAAAGAGCUGAUCCUGGGCAGUAACAAGCUUUCAGGUAAAUUCCCACAUGCCAUCUUGAAUCUUUCAGCUUCCCUCCAAUAUCUAGGGUUGGAGUUUAAUAUGCUAGGGAAGGCAUUGCCACCUAAAAUUGGGGACUUUCUGCCUAAUCUCAUACAGCUUAGCAUGAGUGGCAACAUGUUUGAGGGUUGCAUCCCAGCUUCCCUAGGCAAUGCUACAGGGUUAGAAGUGAUAGAUUUAUCAAAUAACAGUUUCAUCGGAAAAAUUCCAGCUUCUUUUGGAAUGCUUUCAAAGCUGGUCAUUCUAAACCUUGAGCAUAACCAGCUAGAAGCCAGGGAAAGCACAGACUGGGAAUUCUUAGAUGAACUGAGAAACUGCCAAUCUCUGAAUGUCCUAUCACUGUCUUACAAUCAGCUGCAUGGACAUAUUCCACAGUUCGUUGGUAACCUAUCACCCAGCCUUGAUACACUUCUGUUAUACGGAAACAGCUUAUCGGGACAAGUACCCCAAAGUAUCGGAAACCUUAGUGCCUUGACUAAACUGGCACUAGGUAAAAAUUAUUUAAGUGGUAAAAUUGAAGGAUGGAUUGGAAACCUAAAAAGCCUACAAUCGUUGAAUCUCGAGUCGAACAGCUUCACUGGCCCAAUCCCAUCCUCCAUUGGCAAUCUUACUUACUUGACGUAUUUGUACAUGAGGGAAAAUAGAUUCGAGGGCCUCAUACCUUAG
rnacentral:rRNA from 1 species